rnacentral:rRNA from 1 species
UACGAAGGGGGCUAGCGUUGUUCGGAAUUACUGGGCGUAAAGCGCACGUAGGCGGAUUGUUAAGUCAGGGGUGAAAUCCCGGGGCUCAACCCCGGAACUGCCUUUGAUACUGGAGAGCUUGAGUCCGGAAGAGGUGAGUGGAACUCCGAGUGUAGAGGUGAAAUUCGUAGAUAUUCGGAAGAACACCAGUGGCGAAGGCGGCUCACUGGUCCGGUACUGACGCUGAGGUGCGAAAGCGUGGCGAGCAAACAGG